rnacentral:lncRNA from 1 species
UUUUAGCCUCCGGUUUAAAGCCGAUAUUGACUUUACAGUGUAAACAGAUAUUGGGUUUCCAUUAUAGUAUUUCGCAAUAUUGCAUCAGCCGGUUACGACUAGUUUUAUCAAUACACAUAACAUUCUUUACUGUUUUAAGUAUUAUAACGAAAAAAGUGGAAUUUAAACAACUGAAAUGUAUUCAAGAAUUCUACAAAGAUAUUAUUAGCCAGACGAAUUACAACGUGAAAAAUCCAAGACUUUAUAAAGACAACGAACGUUUAACACAAAAUAUAUCAUCGGAAGACUUCAA